rnacentral:rRNA from 1 species
AUUGAACGCUGGCGGCAGGCCUAACACAUGCAAGUCGAACGAGUGGCGGACGGGUGAGUAAUGUCUGGGAAACUGCCUGAUGGAGGGGGAUAACUACUGGAAACGGUAGCUAAUACCGCAUACCAUCAGAUGUGCCCAGAUGGGAUUAGCUAGUUGGUGGGGUAACGGCUCACCAAGGCGACGAUCCCUAGCUGGUCUGAGAGGAUGACCAACCACACUGGAACUGAAACACCGUCAAGACUCCUGCGGGAGGCAGUAGUGGGUAAUAUUGAACGGGGGGCGCAAGGCUCAAGCAGCCAUGCCGUGUGUAGGAAGAAGGCCGGCGGGUUGUAAAGUGCUGUCAGCGGGGAGGGGUUACCCGCAGAAGAAGCACCGGCUAACUGCGCGCGAGCCGCCGCGGUAAC